AGAGUUUGAUCCUGGCUCAGGAUGAACGCUGGCGGCGUGCUUAACACAUGCAAGUCGAGCGGGAAUUAGUUAGGUGCUUGCACCUAACUAAUUUUAGCGGCUGAGCGGCGGACGGGUGAGUAACGCGUGGGUAACCUGCCUUAUACAGGGGGAUAACAUAUUGAAAAGUAUGCUAAUACCGCAUAAGCGCACAAUAUCACAUGAUGCAGUGUGAAAAACUCCGGUGGUAUAAGAUGGACCCGCGUCUGAUUAGCUAGUAGGUGAGGUAAUGGCUCACCUAGGCGACGAUCAGUAGCCGACCUGAGAGGGUGAUCGGCCACAUUGGGACUGAGACACGGCCCAAACUCUUACGGGAGGCAGCAGUGGGGAAUAUUGCACAAUGGGGGAAACCCUGAUGCAGCGACGCCGCGUGAAGGAUGAAGGUUUUCGGAUCGUAAACUUCUAUCAGCAGGGACGAUAAUGACGGUACCUGACUAAGAAGCCCCGGCUACUAUCGACGCGCCAGCAGCCGCGGUAAUACGUAGGGGGCAAGCGUUAUCCGGAAUUACUGGGUGUAAAGGGUGCGUAGGCGGUAAUGUAAGUCAGGUGUGAAAGCCCGAAGCUCAACUUCGGGAUUGCACUUGAAACUACAUAACUAGAGUACAGGAGAGGGAAGUGGAAUUCCUAGUGUAGCGGUGAAAUGCGUAGAUAUAGGGAGGAACACCGGUGGCGAAGGCGAUUGACUGGCCUAUAACUGACACUGAGGCGCGAAAGCGUGGGGAUCAAACAGGAUUAGAUACCCUGGUAGUCCACGCCGUAAACGAUGAGUGCUAGGUGUGGGGGACAUACAACCUCUGUGCCGGAGCUAACGCAUUAAGCGCUCCGCCUGGGGAGUACGGCCGCAAGGUUAAAACUCAAAGGAAUUGACGGGGGCCCGCACAAGCAGCGGAGCAUGUGGUUUAAUUCGAAGCAACGCGAAGAACCUUACCAGGGCUUGACAUCCCUUGACAGCUAUGGAAAUAUAGACUUCUUAGUUUACUAAGACACGGAGACAGGUGGUGCAUGGUUGUCGUCAGCUCGUGUCGUGAGAUGUUGGGUUAAGUCCCGCAACGAGCGCAACCCUUAUCUUUAGUAGCCAGCACGUAACGGUGGGAACUCUAGAGAGACUGCCGAGGAUAACUCGGAGGAAGGUGGGGAUGACGUCAAAUCAUCAUGCCCCUUAUGAUCUGGGCUACACACGUGCUACAAUGGCGAUAACAAAGGGAAGCGAAAGGGUGACCUGGAGCAAACCCCAGAAAAAUCGUCCCAGUUCGGAUUGUAGUCUGCAACUCGACUACAUGAAGUUGGAAUCGCUAGUAAUCGCGAAUCAGAAUGUCGCGGUGAAUACGUUCCCGGGUCUUGUACACACCGCCCGUCACACCAUGGGAGUUGGAAGCGCCCGAAGCCAGUGACUCAACCGUAAGGAGAGAGCUGUCGAAGGUGAAGCCAAUGACUGGGGUGAAGUCGUAACAAGGUAACC
rnacentral:rRNA from 1 species